rnacentral:misc_RNA from 1 species
UUUUUAUUUUUUAUUUUUAAUUAUGAAUUAUUGGUAGGCAUCCUAUUUAGCAGUGGUAAUUUUAGACAUGACCCACGAAAACGACUCAAACAUGACAUGAAAAUAGAGAAUUAGGUUUGAACUUUGUAAUUUAGGUAAUUUUCUAUUUCACUAAGAUGUUAAUAUACAGAUAUAUAUAUGUAUACAAUAUUCUCCUAUUCUAAAUGGAUUAGAACUCUAAUUCUACAAGGAUUAGGAAUCCUAUCCUAUAGGGGUCAAUCUCAUAAUUGGAGUAAACUUCCUCAUUAAGAAGACUUCUAUAACACUCCCCCUCAAGUUGGAGUAUAGAUGUUAAUCAUGCCCAACUUAUUACAGAUGUAGUCAACCCGAGUUCCAUUUAGAGCUUUUGUAAACAAAUCUCCUAGUUAGUCUCCAAUUUUGAUAUGCUGUGUUGAGAUAAUCCCUUGUUGAAGCUUUUCCCGGACAAAAUGACAAUCAAUUUCAAUAUACUUGGCCCGUUCAUGGAACACCGGAUUAGGAGCAAUAUAGAGAGCAGCUUGAUUAUCACACCAUAACCGUGCAGGCAAAGAGGUCUUAAGGUCAACCUCAUCUAAUAAUUGAAGUAUCCAUACUAUUUCACACACUGAUUGUGCCAUAACUCUAUAUUCCGAUUCAGCACUAGAUCGCGAGACUACGCUAUGUUUCUUACUUCUCUAUGUCACUCAAUUACCUCCAAAGGACACAAUAUCCAGUAGUUGAUCU